UACCACUGAAAUUAUUGUUCG
rnacentral:miRNA from 1 species